GUCAAUGAUGGACUAGGUAAGGGGGCGAAAGCCCGCUGGAAGUUUAACCGCUUAUUCACCAGUACUGCGAACCUUGCCUAGUUCAUCACCAGU
rnacentral:antisense_RNA from 1 species